rnacentral:snoRNA from 1 species
AGGGACAGAUGGGGGAGGGUUUCUGAUGUGCUAAACUAACCUUUGCAGGUAAAUAGCACAUGACUUAUUUAGCCACUGCUUGUCAGUCACCUUCAGACCAAA